UGAUCCAUAACUGCGCAGCUGAGAUUAAAACCAGACUCAUUUCCACCAUAGGCUCGAUUCUUCUCUCACAGACAAAAAAGCAGUCUCAGGAAAGAUGUCUGUCUCCAUGACCAAAGGCGAGGGGGUCACUGUGUUCACUAUGACCGUUGACCCCAAAAGUUCCUGUCCUCCUCUGUGUCAAAUCAUCAAGUCCCUCUGCUACAGCCCAGUGUGGUGCACUGUGUCCCAGCAGCUGAGGACAGUUCAGAGAAUGUCUCAGUCAGUACUCGGGGCUCUGCACAUCAUGACUGGUUUUCUCCACAUUGGCCUCGGAGUGAUUCUCCUGAACAGUGGAAGUGGCUCUGGAUGGGUAAUGGAAGAC